UGCCCAAAAACUCAUCAAUGAAAAUGAGGAAAAAAUAAUUGGCGCCACCUUUCUUUUCAUUUUUGAAAAAUUUCUUUCCUUCUUAUCUCCUUAUCUCUAAUUUGGAUCGCAUUCGAAUUAGACAAGAGAUAAAAUCAUGACUCACCAUGCUUUGCCACCCACCCUUAUUGGGCCCACUCUCAUCAUGCUAAAAAUCUCAAGCCAAAUCCAAUUUGGUGUUGAGAAUAAAGGCAUGGGUCCACGGUGGCGCAAGGAGAAAGAGAUAGAGUCUCC
rnacentral:lncRNA from 1 species